AAACACUUUCGGGUAUCACCUAUCUCUUUAAAGUCAUCUGUCUUCUUCUUAUUUAGUUCUCAAUUCCAACGAUACGAUUGAAUUCCCAGGCAAAGGUUUCCACUUUGGUCCAUACUUUCUCUUGGUCCAAUUGUUGUUGCUACAAAGGGACAAAAGGCAAAACAGUCCACUCACAAGCGAAAGCGAAGACGAUGCAAAAAUUGCAAGUCAUUUGGACAUGAUAGACGAAAAUGUACUAAAGUGUGCACAGAUGCAUAUGAAACUCACAAUUAUGAUCAUGUUGGGGCACCCAAUAAUGUUGAGAAUGUAAAUUUGAAUCUGAUAGGAUCAUCCGAUGGCCUAUUGCAAUCAGAUUCACAGCAUGGAUGCAAUAAGGAAUUAAUGGAUAGUAAUUGGUUUCAGAUCAUUCCUCCUGGUCAGGCAUUAAUGUGGGCAUGCAAUCCUUCAUUAAUCCAAAGUCAUGUACAAAACACUAGCUUGUUAGGAGAUGAAAAGUAUUCAGUGAAUGAACCAGAUUUCAGCCAAGACCAUUAAGGAAUUUUAUUCUUGAGAGAGUACAAAUGUUUUUGCACGUCUUUGCUCAAAGCUUUUAGGAUGAUUUAAGUUUCUUCGAAGCUUGCUUGGAAAAAAGUUUGGUGAUCAAAUUUCAGAUAUUGUUAGCAUCCAAGUGCUCUUGGGUUUGUAAACCAGAAAUGUCAAUCCAAACUGAAGCUUUUGAUAGUGAUAUCAGAGCCCUUGAUGCUGGUGAUCAAAUUCUCAAAUCAAGUUACUAGCCUUUUGAUUGCUUCAGAUUUCUGAAGCCAAAGUCUUUGUGCUCUAAAUUCAGUUCUUGGCCAUGUAAUCUUGUCAUGCUUAGAUAGCUAUAUCUAGUGUCCUGCCAGCUUAAUUUUGAUGCGUAAGUAUCAAUUAUUAAAAGUUAGAUUCAUUCUGAUGCUCAAAAUGAGCCGUUUUCUCCUAUUUUGAAAUACCAAUUUCAUAUCAAAUGUCUUGUGCAUGUAGAUUUUGCUGUUUACUUCAAAUUGGACUGGCUUACUUGAUGAGCAGAACUCGAAAAGCAACUCAAAUACUCAUGUUA